CCUACGGGAGGCAGCAGUGAGGAAUAUUGGACAAUGGGCGCAAGCCUGAUCCAGCCAUGCCGCGUGCAGGGAGAAGCAUCUAUGGUGUGUAAACUGCUUUUGUACAGGAAGAAACACUCCCUCGUGAGGGAGCUUGACGGUACUGUAAGAAUAAGGAUCGGCUAACUCCGUGCCAGCAGCCGCGGUAAUACGGAGGAUCCAAGCGUUAUCCGGAAUCAUUGGGUUUAAAGGGUCCGUAGGCGGUUUGGUAAGUCAGUGGUGAAAGCCCAUCGCUCAACGGUGGAACGGCCAUUGAUACUGCUAGACUUGAAUUAUUGUGAAGUAACUAGAAUAUGUAGUGUAGCGGUGAAAUGCUUAGAGAUUACAUGGAAUACCAAUUGCGAAGGCAGGUUACUAACAAUAUAUUGACGCUGAUGGACGAAAGCGUGGGGAGCGAACAGGAUUAGAUACCCUGGUAGUCCACGCCGUAAACGAUGGAUACUAGCUGUUGGGAGUAAUCUCAGUGGCUAAGCGAAAGUGAUAAGUAUCCCACCUGGGGAGUACGUUCGCAAGAAUGAAACUCAAAUGAAAUUGACGGGCNGAGACGAGCGACGGACGACGACGAGGGGAGGAGG
rnacentral:rRNA from 1 species